UACGUAGGCAGCGAGCGUUGUUCGGAGUUACUGGGCGUAAAGGGUGUGUAGGCGGUUCUUUAAGUUUGGUGUGAAAUCUCCCGGCUCAACUGGGAGGGUGCGCCGAAUACUGAAGGAACUUGGAGUGCGGGAGAGGAAAGUGGAAUUCCUGGUGUAGCGGUGAAAUGCGUAGAUAUCAGGAGGAACACCGGUGGUGUAGACGGCUUUCUGGACCGUAACUGACGCUGAGACACGAAAGCGUGGGUAGCAAACAGG
rnacentral:rRNA from 1 species